UCGCUUCAUCUAAUGUAAACUUAAAUUGCUUGUAGUUUAAUAAAUAGUCUCGAUCAAUUUUUAAAUCUAUUUUGAUCUCUAAAUUCUCAAAAAAUGCUCAAAUAUAAAAAAUAUUUUACAAAAAAACAUAAUAAUAUUAUAUAAAAUUAAAAUUAUUUUAUUUUAUAAAAAAAUAAUAAAUAUAAUAUAAUAUAAUAUUAAUAAUAUUGAAAAUAAAGUAUUCUUCUUUUUAUAAAGAACUAUAUUCAGAAGAAAGAAAUAGUUUUUCUCUUGUAUAAACUUACGAAAUUUGAUCUUCAAAGAAAAAAUAAAUAUGUAUUAUCUAUAGACUGGUAAUAUUUCACAAAAUAAAAUUGCAAAACCAUUCCUAGGAAAAAUUUGCGCACAACAGAUAUGAUAUUAAAUAUAAUAUUAAAGAUUACCUUGAGUAAUAUUUCGCCAUUACAGUAAAUUAGAAACAGAAUGAAUUUGAAAUAAAAUAAAAUAUGUAUUAGAAAGUUAAAAUAUUUUCAUAAACUAUAUAUUAUUUAUAAAUAUUAUUUCUUUUUAAUAUCUCCUUUUAAUAUCUAAAUUACAAUAAAUACUACUUCUUGGAGAAAUUUCAUUAAAAAAAUUUUGUUUUUAUAUUUCAUGUAGUGAAAAUUGAAAAAAACAUAAACUAUGUUGUGAAUACGAAUGAAAGUAGAACAUCGAUUAUUCUAACUAAUUGAACAACAAAUUUUUCAAAUAAUCAGUCAAAAAGAACUAAAUUUAUCAUAAAAAACUAAAAAUUAUAAUUUUCAAAUAUGAAUAUUUAUUAUAUCUACAUAAUAGAAGAAAUUUAUAAAAAAAAUGAAUUAUUUUUAAAUAACAUCUUAGAAUACAUAUUCAAGAAUAUAAACUAUACCUAUUUUAAAUAAAUACUUAUUCGGUGAUUGAUUAUUGUUUUUAUUCAAAUCUAAUUUUUCAAUAUUUAAAUUUUGAUUUUUUAUUACAAUAGUGAAAAACAUUGGCAUUUCUAAUAUAUCAUAUUUUAGAUUACACACUUACAUCAAUAUUAAAAAAAAAAUUAAUAUUUUUUAAAAUACAUAAUAACUCUUCAUAUAACCAAUUCAUCUAUUCAAAAAAACCUUAUCUAUUUUUUUCACUUCUCAAGUAAAAUCUAUUUCCUUUACAAAACAGCAAAAAAGAAUUCCUAUUUUCUAGAAAUAUUCAGUUUUUAGUCGACACUUUAACCGCUUAACUGACGUAAUUUUGAUUUCGUUACGCGAUGAAUGAUAGAUCUAUUAUUGAUGUCGAGAAGAGGUUAGGUUAGGAGUAGACGAGGAAUAAAAUUAUGCGGUAGUCAAUGAUUGUUUCGUCUCGCGUGAAUUCAUCAACGACGUCUUACGUUCCGUCCUCCUUCACCGUGUAAUCAGAAUCGAACCAUUCUUAGAUUUUUUCUUUUCCCCCUUUCUUCACUUCCUGAAUCUGUGUUGCAACAUUUCUGGUAUUUCCGCCCCGUUGACUGCGAUGACACCAAAAUCACCGACAGAACGAAACGUGCAAUUAUGCAGCCGACGCGCAACAACGGAAGAAGGAAACGAUGUCCCAAUAUCCUGAUGACCUACUGUUGAAUCGUUUUGACGUCAUCAAUAGAAGACUGGGUCACGAAAUUCGAUGAUUUAUGAACCGAGUCGAACUGCAGAUCACCGUUUUAACACGUAUGAUCUUUUUUCUCGAACAAAAAUUAUAUUUGGAAUUACUUUUUUUUAUCAAUUUUUUUUUAAUUUUAUCGUUAAUAUGAAAUUAAUAUUUCAAUAUUCCGUUUUGAAUUCGAAAAAUUUUUUAAUUCUAACCUAACUAUCUUUUAAUCUCGUAAUAAAAUUGCACAAAAAAAUUAAAUAUUUACGUUUUAUAUACAACGUAUAUAAAUUUAAAGUCAAAACAAUUAGAAUAACGAACAAAAACUUCGAAUUUCAAAUAUCUUCCAAAUUGUUUGAUAAUUAUUGAUCAUUUUAACUAAGAAAGAUUCUAAAAUUUCACGAAGAGAAAUUAAAUGUAUAUGAAAGAAAGCAUUUAAUCGCAAAAUUCGAAAAAAAGGUCAGAUCCGGCAUGAGUCAGUUGACAAACCUGAUUCUCGUCAAGUCAAGAGGAAACAACGUGACGGUUGCAUUAGAGAAAUUAAAUUUACAAUAGGCCUAGGAACACAAUUUGAAAUGGUGUGAGUCGUCGAGAAUCGAGAAUGAACGAAGACAAUUGUGACUAUUUUGUGUCCGAAAUAUACGCGUCGAGCAAAGAGACCGCUUUUGCACACUUUAAAAGUAGGUUGUUACUGAAAAAGAAAGCGUUUGCGAAUUAAAAUUCGCUCGGAUCAUUUUCAUUGUUUUGAUAUGUAGAAUGGAUUCUGCGUGAAAACAAAUCGAAUUAAUUAUAAAAGAAAGCGAUUAAUGAAAGAGGUCUUACGAGGGCGUGAGAUUUUCCUUAGGAAAUUUCUUCCUUGCUUUCGAUAUUAUUGAUAAUUCCUUAUUUCUUAAAGUUCUGUUGAUGUAUCGUAAUGAAAGUCUGAUAAUUAAUUGUGAAUGAAUGUAAAGGAAAUUUUAUAUCUAAAAAAAGAAAAUUAUG